rnacentral:lncRNA from 1 species
UGAAUUCUGCUUAUUAUCAGCAAAGUUUAAUAUUCUCUGCCUUAUUCUGUGCCUUAUACUUCUAAAGUGGGAACAAUUUUCUGUAUCUGAAGAGAUUUUUUUAGAGCUGUUGAAUCUGGUGUUUUGGGCUGUUUCUUGCACAUCAAUUCUUUUCACAACAAUAUACUCUCAAAGGUAAAUACUGACACAGUGGUGUCUUCCCCAAGUAAACUUUGAAAGGUAAAGUUUCAUGGAUGUAUUCCACAUUAAACUAUAAUCAGCUAAUGGUGAUAAUUUUAAAAAGUAACUUUAUAAAGUAUAACAAUUUGUGUGGUGGAAUGUGUCAAAGAAUAUAAAAAGUCACUAGAGAGUAACAAUGUUUUUAAAUACUGGUCUUAACUAAAGAAGGUUAGGCAUUUUUUCUGUAAAAAAAAUAUAGUCCCACAGUUUACUAGUUAGUCAAUGACACCGUGAUUUUUAAAAGUAUAUGGCAAAUUGUAUUGUUAAGAAAUCUUUAUAUUUGAAGUUUUGGGUUUAUAUCAAAGUACAGCAUGUACAUCAUUAAAAUGAUCAGUUAAAAAACUGCGUUGUUUUUAGAGUAUCAAUACAAAAAUGCAUGGUUUGAGUAUAUUAAAGGCUAAGAACACAGGCUUGGAGUCAGAUUUCAGAUAAUCUUAUUAGCUGUAUGACCUGGGACAAGUUAUUUGCCUUCACUUAGCCUCAGUUUUCUCAUUUGAAAAAUAGGGUAAAUCUUAGGGUUUUUGUGAAAUUUAAAACAUAAUUUAUGUAAUGUAGGUUAGUUAGUCUUUGUUGUGGAAUACCUGUUGGUUAUUUUUAUUAGGAAAUGUUUAGAUACCUAUUGUAACCUUUUUGCUACUUAGUUAUCAUUCGAACAUGAUCCUUGGUGACCAUUUAUUUUCUAAUGUGGCUGAAGUUCUGAAAGACUUUGUCCACUAGUCCAAGUCCAAGUUAUUAAGUAAUUAUUCUUUUUUCUCUCCUUUUAAAAAUAAAACAAGACCAUAAAGAUAUCUCUCAGUCACAGCUUUGGAUUGCCAUUUGAUAAUCAGUCUUGUUACCACAUUGAAUUAAAAGAAUGUUAGUCCAAAAUUAUGUUUUAAUUUUACUCUGCAACCAUAUUAUAGUGGGGCUCCUUCUACUACAUUCACAUAAUUCCCCUGGUCUAGGGAUUUCAGAUUAAGAACUAAUGAUGUAACAUUUCAUUGUGUCUUACACUUCUCAUUGUCCAUUUCAGUAUCCUAUUUAGAUUUUCCUCUUCACGUUUCACGUAAAUUUGUUUGAGAUCAUUUUGAGCCUUAUUUAUAAACUUCAUAUUAAAUCUAGUCAU